rnacentral:rRNA from 1 species
AAUGAACGUUGGCGGCGUGGAUUAGGCAUGCAAGUCGAACGGGCCGCAAGGCCAGUGGCGGGAGGGUGAGUAAUGCGACGGUAACCAACCCCGGAAAUGGGUAUAGCCGCGGGAAACUGCGGGUAAUCCCCAGCGACGUGUCGGGUCGGCAUCGACCUGACACCAAAGCUCCGGCGUUCCGGGACGGGCCGUUGUGGUAUUAGCUAGUUGGCGGGGUAACGGCCCACCAAGGCUGCGAUGCCUACCGGGCGUGCGAGCGUGGCCCGGCACACUGGGACUGAGACACUGCCCAGACUCCUACGGGAGGCUGCAGUCGAGAAUCUUCGGCAAUGGGCGCAAGCCUGACCGAGCGACGCCGCGUGGAGGACGAAGGCCUUCGGGUUGUAAACUCCUGUCGAGGGGGAGGAAGGCGUAAGCUUGACCGAUCCCUGGAGGAAGCACGGGCUAAGUUCGUGCCAGCAGCCGCGGUAAU